GGGGAUAACCCGGAGAAAUCCGGACUAAUACCGCGUGGUACACCAGUGGGGCAUCCCACGGGUGUUAAAGGAAGCGAUUCCGGCGGAGGAUGGGCAUGCGGCGCAUUAGCUUGUUGGCGGGGUAACGGCCCACCAAGGCGACGAUGCGUAGGGGUUCUGAGAGGAAGGUCCCCCACACUGGUACUGAGACACGGACCAGACUCCUACGGGAGGCAGCAGUGAGGAAUAUUGGUCAAUGGGCGGGAGCCUGAACCAGCCAAGUCGCGUGAGGGAAGACGGUCCUAUGGAUUGUAAACCUCUUUAGGCGGGGAGCAAUGCCGGGCACGCGUGCCCGGAGGGAGAGUACCCGCAGAAUAAGCAUCGGCUAACUCCGUGCCAGCAGCCGCGGUAAUACGGAGGAUGCGAGCGUUAUCCGGAUUUAUUGGGUUUAAAGGGUGCGUAGGCGGAUUUUUAAGUCAGCGGUAAAAUGUCCGGGCUCAACCCGGGCCGGCCGUUGAAACUGGGGAUCUUGAGUGGGCGAGAAGUAUGCGGAAUGCGUGGUGUAGCGGUGAAAUGCAUAGAUAUCACGCAGAACUCCGAUUGCGAAGGCAGCAUACCGGCGCCCGACUGACGCUGAGGCACGAAAGCGUGGGGAUCGAACAGGAUUAGAUACCCUGGUAGUCCACGCAGUAAACG
rnacentral:rRNA from 1 species